rnacentral:rRNA from 1 species
GAUGAACGCUGGCGGCAUGCCUAACACAUGCAAGUCGAUCGGUAAGGCUCUUCGGAGUACACGAGAGGCGGACGGCUGAGUAACGCGUAGGAACACACCCUGCAGUGAGGGAUAAGACACCGAAAGGUGUUCUAAUACCGCAUACGGUCUUCGGAUUAAAGCAUUUAUGCGCUGAAGGAGUGGCCUGCGUCAUAUUAGAUAGUUGGUGAGGUAAUGGCUCACCAAGUCGAUGAUGUGUAGCUGGUCUGAGAGGAUGAUCAGCCAGACUGGAACUGAGACACGGUCCAGACUCCUACGGGAGGCAGCAGUGAGGAAUAUUUCACAAUGAGCGAAAGCUUGAUGGAGCAAUGCCGCGUGCAGGAUGAAGGCCCUCGGGUUGUAAACUGCGUUUAUAAGAGAAGAUUAUGACGGUAACUUAUGAAUAAGGGACGGCUAACUACGUG